CGCAGGGCUUUCGUGCGUGCGUGACAAACCUGGUGGAUAUGGUGAAUCGGGGCAAUAGGAAAGAUCAGGGCUAAAGAGAGAGAGCAAGAAAGAGUGGAAACAUCAGCUUCGUCGCUGAAUCGUCUCGAGGUUGCUUUGGAUUCAGAGCAGCACGAUCCAACGCUAUCCACGACAAUGUCGCAGAGAGCUUGGCCGGCGUCUCCACCGAGAGGGGCCACAUGGAGGAUUGUGUGGUGGCGCUGCCAAUGCCAUACCUGUGUGCUGGUUUCCGGUUCCUACGCCCAACAUUCCCCUGCUCACUGUGAUUAAUCCGCAUGCCGGCCUCCGAGUCGAGUGAUGUCUGGAAGUGAUACACGGAAUGGAGCUUCUCUGUGAAUCCAGUGUUUUUGGUGGGUUGGUGGUCGCUUGCACUCUCUGGUUUUAUGAAAGGUGUGAUGUGAACACCUGCAUGGAUAAGGUGAUAUCUCAAUGGCGUGGUGAGUUCCGGUGGUUUUUUGUUUUUUUGGUUUUGUAGCUGUCGUUUCUCAUGGCAGUUGGAUACCUCUCGUGUGAGACAGUGUUUUUUGCGAUAUCUUUUUAGUCACCGAAUGAAUUCGGCUUUUCUGCGACAUGUCGAGCAUAUUCCUGAAGGAAUAAAACCAACAUGAGAGAGCAUGAGGAUUCGAUAA